rnacentral:rRNA from 1 species
GCUAGUUGUAUUAUUAGUUAAUGCAAGAUCGACUACGUCGACUAAAGUUCUAGGUAGAAUAAUGAUGAUGACAAUUUUUUACCUAUAUGUCUUGACCAAGUCUCGUGCCAGCAGUCGCGGUAAUACGUGGAAGACUAGUGUUAUUCAUCUUUAUUAGGUUUAAAGGGUACCUAGACGGUAUUUCUAGCCCAAAAUAGGGUACGGAUUUACUAGAGUUUUAUGUGAGGAGGGGAGUACUCGUGGAGUAGAGAUGAAAUUUUGUUAUACUAUGAGGUAACUGGUGGCGGCGAAAGCAACCUUCUAUGUAUAAACUGACGUUGAGGGACGAAGGCUUGGGUAGCAAAUAGGAUUAGAUACCCUAGUAGUCCAAGCAGACAAUUCUGAAUGCCAUAGAUUAGAUUUUUUUUGAUCUAUAAAUGAAAGUGUAAGCAUUCCACCUUAGGAGUAAUGUGGCAACACAGGAACUGAAAUCAUUAGACCGUUUCUGAAACCAGUAGUGAAGUAUGUUAUUUAAUUUGAUGGUCCACAAAAAACCUUACCACAACUUGAAUAUUUUUUAAUUAAUACAAGCGUUGCACGGCUGUCUUCAGUUAAUGUCGUGAGAUUUUGGUUAACUCCAUUAAUUAACGUAAACCCUUACUUUAUUUAUUUUUUUUUUAUA